AUGAACGCUGGCGGCGUGCCUAAUCCAUGCAAGUCGAGCGAACGGACGAGAAGCUUGCUUCUCUGAUGUUAGCGGCGGACGGGUGAGUAACACGUGGAUAACCUACCUAUAAGACUGGGAUAACUUCGGGAAACCGGAGCUAAUACCGGAUAAUAUUUUGAACCGCAUGGUUCAAAAGUGAAAGACGGUCUUGCUGUCACUUAUAGAUGGAUCCGCGCUGCAUUAGCUAGUUGGUAAGGUAACGGCUUACCAAGGCAACGAUGCAUAGCCGACCUGAGAGGGUGAUCGGCCACACUGGAACUGAGACACGGUCCAGACUCCUACGGGAGGCAGCAGUAGGGAAUCUUUCGCAAUGGGCGAAAGCCUGACGGAGCAACGCCGCGUGAGUGAUGAAGGUCUUCGGAUCGUAAAACUCUGUUAUUAGGGAAGAACAUAUGUGUAAGUAACUGUGCACAUCUUGACGGUACCUAAUCAGAAAGCCACGGCUAACUACGUG
rnacentral:rRNA from 1 species